rnacentral:rRNA from 1 species
CACUCCUACGGGAGGCAGCAGUGGGGAAUUUUGGACAAUGGGCGAAAGCCUGAUCCAGCAAUGCCGCGUGCAGGAUGAAGGCCUUCGGGUUGUAAACUGCUUUUGUACGGAACGAAAAAGCUCCUUCUAAUACAGGGGGCCCAUGACGGUACCGUAAGAAUAAGCACCGGCUAACUACGUGCCAGCAGCCGCGGUAAUACGUAGGGUGCGAGCGUUAAUCGGAAUUACUGGGCGUAAAGCGUGCGCAGGCGGUUAUGUAAGACAGAUGUGAAAUCCCCGGGCUCAACCUGGGAACUGCAUUUGUGACUGCAUGGCUAGAGUACGGUAGAGGGAGAUGGAAUUCCGCGUGUAGCAGUGAAAUGCGUAGAUAUGCGGAGGAACACCGAUGGCGAAGGCAAUCCCCUGGACCUGUACUGACGCUCAUGCACGAAAGCGUGGGGAGCAAACAGGAUUAGAAACCCUUGUAGUCCCAUG